rnacentral:lncRNA from 1 species
CCUACUACAGACAGUGGGUUUAUAUCGUGAGGAGGAUGUGGGGAGUUCUGUAACACGUGCAAUCAACGGUGACGCAUUCGUGUUGUGAAACCCGGAACUGCAAUGAGGAUUGAAACUUUUAUACACAAGACACUUCGUCAGACUAGCACUCGCUAUGUGCUGGAUACGAGAAGUUUUUGUUAGUUUCAUAUCGCUAUUAGUCUUUGUUGCACCUGUGUUCACUACAGUCACAGAGACGACACAAAACUACACCUGUGCGGAAGAACUGCUCCAUGUACAAUCUGAAUAAGCAAUGAAGAGCCCAGACUGUGAUCAGUAUUGGUCUGCACAGGAUCAUUCUAUUGCAACAUUUCUGCAGUCCACCCCAGAGUGUCAUAGUCCAUGCAAAGCGGUGUUCGCUGGGAGAAUCGUUCUGACUGACUGUGUCAAUAUCACCCUGGCUGUAAUAUGCUCAAGAGUUUCUUUGACUGAAUACCGUGUACAUUUUUAUGGCGAAAGAGUCCCUCAACAACCACUUAUCAAGCCUGUGAGCAGAGGUCACACUGGUAUUUUCCUGCCCAUCGCCUUGGUGGUCAUAUCCAUUGUGGUGUAUCUGCUGUGUGUUGCAUAUGCAUACAGAAACAACAGAAGCAAUGUUCAAACCACUUACAGUGAUAUGGGAUAA